rnacentral:rRNA from 1 species
UGAGGAAUAUUGGUCAAUGGACGCAAGUCUGAACCAGCCAAGUAGCGUGCAGGAUGACGGCCCUAUGGGUUGUAAACUGCUUUUAUAUGGGGAUAAAGUGGGGAACGUGUUCCCUUUUGCAGGUACCAUAUGAAUAAGGACCGGCUAAUUCCGUGCCAGCAGCCGCGGUAAUACGUAGGUGGCAAGCGUUGUCCGGAAUUAUUGGGCGUAAAGCGCGCGCAGGUGGUUUAGAAAGUCAGAUGUGAAAGCCCACGGCUCAACCGUGGAGGGUCAUUGGAAACUAAUAAACUUGAGUGCAGGAGAGAAAAGUGGAAUUCCUAGUGUAGCGGUGAAAUGCGUAGAGAUUAGGAGGAACACCGGUGGCGAAAGCGGCUUUUUGGCCUGCAACUGACACUGAGGCGCGAAAGCGUGGGGAGCAAACAGG